rnacentral:rRNA from 1 species
CUGGCGGCCGCUUACCCAUGCGCGUUAAACGGGGACUGGUAGCUUGCCACUAACUACGGCGGACGGGUGAGUAAUGCUUAGGAAUCUGCCUAUUAGCUGGGGGACAACGUUUCGAAAGGAACGCUAAUACCGCAUACGUCCUACGGGAGAAAGCAGGGGAUCAUUUGACCUUGUGCUAAUAGAUGAGCCUAAGUCGGAUUAGCUAGUUGGUGGGGUAAAGGCCUACCAAGGCGACGAUCUGUAGCGGGUCUGAGAGGAUGAUCCGCCACACUGGGACUGAGACACGGCCCAGACUCCUACGGGAGGCAGCAGUGGGGAAUAUUGGACAAUGGGCGCAAGCCUGAUCCAGCCAUGCCGCGUGUGUGAAGAAGGCCUUAUGGUUGUAAAGCACUUUAAGCGAGGAGGAGGAGCUUCAGGUUAAUACCCUGGAUGCUUGGACGUUACUCGCAGAAUAAGCACCGGCUAACUCUGUGCCAGCAGCCGCGGUAAUACAGAGGGUGCAAGCGUUAAUCGGAUUUACUGGGCGUAAAGCGUGCGUAGGCGGCUAAUUAAGUCAACAUGUGACACUCCCCGAGCCUUAAACUUGGGAAUUUGCAUUCGAUACUGGUUAGCUAAGAGUAUGGGACGAGGGAUGGGUACAAUUCCACCGGUGUAAGCGGUGAAAUGCCGUAAAAUCUCUGGCAGGAAUUACACCGAUGGGACAAGGCCAUUUGGCCUAAUCAUGAGACGCUUAGGUCCAAAGCUUGGGACCAACCGCUAAAUACUGGU